rnacentral:rRNA from 1 species
AAGAAAGUAAGAAAGGGCGCAUGGCGGAUGCCUUGGCUCUCGGAGGCGAUGAAGGACGUGAUAAGCUGCGAUAAGCUGCGGGUAGGUGCAAAUAACCUUUGAUCCGCGGAUUUCCGAAUGGGACAACCCAACCGGUUGAAGACCGGUUAUCUAUCCAAUGAUAGAGGCUAACGCAGGGAACUGAAACAUCUUAGUACCUGCAGGAAAAGAAAAUAAACAAUGAUUCCCCUAGUAGUGGCGAGCGAACGGGGAUUAGCCCAAACCAUGGAUGUCACGGCAUUCAUGGGGUUGUAGGACCACGAUGUCGCAAGACAUCUGACGAAUGGAAUCCUCUGGAAAGAGGAGCCGUAGACGGUGAUAGCCCGGUACAUGAAGUCAGAGGAAGCGUAGUGGUAUCCUGAGUAGCGCGGAGCACGAGGAAUUCUGCGUGAACCAGCCGGGACCAUCCGGUAAGGCUAAAUACUCCCGAGAGACCGAUAGCGAACCAGUACUGUGAAGGAAAGGUGAAAAGC